ACUAGAGGAACCUGUCCUAUAAACGACAAUCCACGAAAUCACUUGCUUAUUUUAGUUUAACCAGCUAGUAUACCGCUGUUUUAAGGUAUCUUAAAAAUAAUUAAACCUUAAAAAAUGUUUAACUUUAAGACAUUUACCAAUUCAAGUCAGGGUGCUGCUAAUAAAUAAGAUUGAGAUGGGUUACAAUGAAAUAAUUUGCCCGGAAUAUUAUUAAGAAAAGUAAUAUAAAGACGGAUUUAGUAGUAAAUCAAUCUAAGAAAAUAGGAUUGAAUGAGAAA
rnacentral:rRNA from 1 species